rnacentral:rRNA from 1 species
UACGAAGGGUGCAAGCGUUACUCGGAAUUACUGGGCGUAAAGCGUGCGUAGGUGGUUUUUUAAGUCCGUUGUGAAAGCCCUGGGCUCAACCUGGGAAUGGCAGUGGAUACUGGAAAGCUAGAGUGCGGUAGAGGGUAGUGGAAUUCCCGGUGUAGCAGUGAAAUGCGUAGAGAUCGGGAGGAACACCAGUGGCGAAGGCGGGUCUCUGGGCCGAAACUGACGCUGAGGAGCGAAAGCGUGGGGAGCAAACAGG